UUCUUUGAAAAUUUUGAUAUUGACCAACAAUACUAUCCUUGUUGUGCUUUAUCCUGUUUCUUAAUUCCCAUUUAUAUGUGAUGUUCGCUUGUGAUUUUCAGGAUGAUCAUGUUGCUUUUUGCAGCAAAUUCUGGUUUCAUUUUACUCACUCAGCUAUGUCUAAACUUUCUGUUCGUUUUCAGACUUUGAUUCCUCAAUGAGAUAUUCAAAUGAGGUAGAAGCCACACUACUAAAGCACUUAAAAGAAAAAAAAGAACACUUCUCAGGAUUCGAUAACUGUGAGGUAGAUGAUCAAACCAUCAACCUUUGGAAUGAUAAUUGAUAUCUAUAUUUACCUAGCUAUGCACGUUGUAAAAUAUUAUCUCGGAUAUUAAUGUGCUUCUAGUUGUAUAGGCUUUGUACAUGCCCCAAGUGUUCUAUUUCUGUAACCAUGUGUAAAUCAAUGCCCGUAUAGGAGAUGGAGACCAUUCCGUUCGUUAUCCAAAAUGUGCAUAGUUUGGGAGAUAGUAUUGUAUUGAAUUGGAUUGGCAGGAGACCCUAUGUAACGAGCUUGUUCUGAUGGGUUCACUUUUUUUCUACAAUUUGGUUUAUGGACCUUUGUCUAUUGUUAUCAUUGCAAUGAUUUUGUUGUCUAUUCAGCAUUUUCAAUUUUCAGAAGUUGAAGGCACCCUUUUUUUUAAGGAAA